rnacentral:rRNA from 1 species
UUAAAUUGAAGAGUUUGAUCAUGGCUCAGAUUGAACGCUGGCGGCAGGCCUAACACAUGCAAGUCGAACGGUAGCACAGAGAGCUUGCUCUCGGGUGACGAGUGGCGGACGGGUGAGUAAUGUCUGGGAAACUGCCUGAUGGAGGGGGAUAACUACUG